ACAGGGGCUGGGCCAGGAGACAAGUCCUUGUGGUAAAUACAGUCCUGCUGUUAGUCGUCCCUCUUCUCUACCUUCAGACGCUGCCUGUCCCCCGACUUCUCACUCGGGGAGGUUCACUUUCAAGGGCAUCCUUCACAGAAUUGGCCAGAAGCCACAGUGGCAAAUCUCACUCCACUGUCCCGGGGCAAGGAAUAGCAUGUUCUGCUCUUGCCAACUGCUUGGUAUGGUGUUAACAUGAUUGACUGAGUCAGCUUUGUGCACAGCCAGUAAUCAGAGCAGAUUCCAGGAACUGGAUGUAAGCAAGUGAGAUGCUAUUUUUUAAUAUCUCAAAACAUGACUCCAUGGGAGAUGCAAGCAACAGGAGAAAGGUGAGUUAUUAUAAGC